UUUCUAGUGUAUUAUUAGGUAAGUACUCCCUCUAUUUCUAAAUAUAUGACCUUUUAGGCUUUUAGGGAUUUUAAUACGAGAGGAGCGUUUUGCAGGACAAGCACCAUGAAGCUCGGAAUCUCAACCAACUGUUCGUCCUUUGGGAUGUGUGUAUCGUGAAUUUUCAGUUGUAUACUGGCGCCAGUCAGCAGAAAAUAUACAGAGAUGUCGUGGAGUAGUAUGUUAGCUUUCUACAUGGGCCGCGGGUGGAUUGUAUGAUUGAAUGAACAGGGAGCGACUACAAUAGAAGAAGGGCCAUGGGUGCAAAAAUAGAAAAAACAUGGCUGGGCCAUCUGAUCCUGGAUGAAGGGCCCAGAUUAUUGUGGGUGGAUCUGAGCACACAGGCACUAUGUUAUUUGCACAAAACUCCCUUGGUUCUACUCCUUUUGCUUUUAGAACCACCUCCUCCUUCCUAAGAACGCAACAAUGCAGACCCAAAAUCCUCCAAUGUGUAGCUGGGCGAUAGCAAGGGCUUGCCGACGGUGGCGGCGGGCCAGAUCCGGUGGCUAGCUGGGCGACUGCGCCCAGCGGAGGUCCAGAUCCAGCACCCGACCGUCUUGUCGUCGGCUUCCUGGCUGCCUCGACAGACCUCCCCUGUGCGGACAAGUACUCUGCUCUUCGUCACCGCCAGCGCGCCGCCGCACAGCGCAUCGAGAGGAACGAGGGUGUUGUUGCCAAGGAGGAGGUCUCCAUGCACCGCCACUUCGACGACCUCCGCGCCCUCGGCAGAUCGAAGCUCGUCAACUAGUACUAAGUUUGUUCUCCGCUGUUUUGGUGUUGCAUCUUGAACUGAAAUGGAGGGAAGUAGUGAGACAUAGCCUUCAGGAGAGCCCACAGUUCCAGUAAUUGCAAAAUUUAUACCAACACUACCAGGUGAGAAGAUAUAGUCCAGAAAGGCAAGAAAAUUUUGUCAUUACCUAAUUUUCCGUUAAUCCCUUCUUUGGUGUUUUUUGCUGAAUAUUUGUUUGCAGUCGUGGAAUCGGUCAAUAGUAGUGCUCAAAAUCAAGAUUUCAGCGAUGCUACCUCGUCUGCAGAGAUUAAUUCUCUAAUGCUUCUUAUUGAAUUUCUUUGCCAUUGUUGUAUGUCCAUCAUUAGGCUAUCUUUGUGGUUUACUGGUCAUAGGUAAUAUUAUUCUUCUCGAACCCAUGACUGCUCUGGAGUGAUUAAAUUUUCCAGUGGCUUCUCUGUCCAGUAUAGAAUUUGUCUAUAAUUUUCCUUCCAAACAAAUGGUAUUGUUUAUACUCAUAUUACCACAAAAUCACCAUUUCUUUGUGUCUUUGGUGCUAAAUUAAAAGUACCUGACCAAUAAGAGGCGCUUUACAGGAGUGGAAACCAACAGCUUCAGUGCACAUGCAAAACAUUGUGGCCUGCACUUGUAGUGCUGCUGUCAGCAAAUAUGUGUGCACUAAGGCAAUAUUAGGUCACAGGAUAUAAUUAGCAGGAAAUGUCCAUUGGAGGGAGUAAAUGGCUGAUUGUUUUGACCUACUUGGGCUUGACUUGGGAUAGUCCUUCGGUUGCUAACCAUCCAUUGAGCCAUAAAACUUAUAAUGUAAUAUCAAUACAUCAGUAUAGCCGGUCGUAAGUUGUAUGCAAGUCUUAUUGGGAUGACGAGCUGUGAAAAUAGAUACAAUUGAUCAGUCAUUGUCAAACUGUAAAUAUAUUUUGUCGUACGAUAUUCUUUUCGUUUUCUCUUCAGUGGUCUGACAUGUGCCUCUGUGCUGCAGCAUCAAGGUUUUACUUUUGUCAUCUAUGAGUUAGCAAAAGAACUUGAAUUGCAUUAUUAAUUGUUCAAUACAUAUACACGAUCAGGAUUAGAGAACAUAAUUUCCUAUUUCUUUCCUUGUAAUGUAAAGUAUAUUUUUUUCCUUGUAUUUGUAGAUGCAUGAUGCCCUGACAACCGGAAACAUCAAGACUGCAGAUGGAUAUAAGAAGCUUUUAUCAAAGUCUUCCCUUUCUGACGAUUGAGAGAAUUUCUAUGGAAGAUAUAUUUAACUGUGUUCUUGAUUAUGCAUCUGUACGUGUCUGUGCUCAACUGAAUCGUGUUUGCUUGGUGUGACCUCUCCCAGAACAAGAAGCUUAUGAGCAAGAAGUGGUAGAACUGGAGGGGAAUGCUAGAGCUUUUCUAUUAUGACCAUCAAGAUAGUAGAGCUUAUCGUUUUAAAUAGCAAUGCAUGUUGAGUGGUGAUCAUAUUUACUCUGUCUUGUUGGCCAUGUACUAAAAAUGAUGCUACCAUGUCUCAUCAAGAUAUGUAUGCUUGUGAUAUGCUCAA